rnacentral:rRNA from 1 species
AGAGUUUGAUCCUGGCUCAGGAUGAACGCUAGCGGCAGGCUUAACACAUGCAAGUCGAGGGGUAGCAGGUUUAAAUUUCGGUUUAAAUGCUGACGACCGGCGCACGGGUGCGUAACGCGUAUACAAUCUACCUUAUACUGGAGGAUAGCCCUAAGAAAUUGGGAUUAAUACUCCAUAAUAUUAUUGGUCCGCAUGGAUUGAUUAUUAAAGCUACGGCGGUAUAAGAUGAGUAUGCGUCUGAUUAGCUAGUUGGUGAGGUAACGGCUCACCAAGGCUACGAUCAGUAGGGGGCCUGAGAGGGUUAUCCCCCACACUGGUACUGAGACACGGACCAGACUCCUACGGGAGGCAGCAGUGAGGAAUAUUGGUCAAUGGGCGCAAGCCUGAACCAGCCAUGCCGCGUGAAGGAAGAAUGUCCUAUGGAUUGUAAACUUCUUUUAUUUGGGAAGAAACCCCUCUACGUGUAGAGGUCUGACAGUACCAAAUGAAUAAGGACCGGCUAACUCCGUGCCAGCAGCCGCGGUAAUACGGAGGGUCCAAGCGUUAUCCGGAAUCAUUGGGUUUAAAGGGUUCGCAGGCGGUUUAUUAAGUCAGUGGUGAAAUCUCGAGGCUCAACCUCGAAACUGCCAUUGAUACUGAUAGACUUGAAUAUAGUUGGAGUAGGCGGAAUGUGUAGUGUAGCGGUGAAAUGCUUAG